rnacentral:lncRNA from 1 species
CACUUCCAGCGGACAAAUUCAGUCAGUUACUGUGAGUAAUCUUCUCCACUUUAUUAAGCUUUUUAUUUUGAUCAUAAAAUUAUUGAAGAAUCAAGGACUUAGAGCUACAAUUCUCCUUGGAGAGGCAUAUUCAUCAUUUUCAAGUAUAUAGAGUUAGCACAUACAAAAAAUAUGUACGAAUGAAAGAUAUAUAAGCGUUCUCUUUCUGUCUUUAUGUUCACAUUGUGUCCUGUUUGUGCGUGAAAGUUGAUGUUGUCAAGCCUCUUUAUUGUUGGAAACAUUGAUCUUUUAGUCAUAAGGAGGGGUUAUUACUUAAAGGAUGCAUUUCCAUGUUAUACUAGCACUACCAGGUAAUUAUUUCAGUUACUUUUUACACACACUUUAAGUCUUUAAAACAUCAAUUUUGAAACAAAGUAGAAAAGUACACUUAUUUUUCUUCAAAGUUGAGACACCCUCUUCAUUGAGUUGUUUGUAAUUUUGAUGCUAUUGUGUUUUUAUAUUCACAUNNNNNNNNNNNNNNNNNNNNNNNNNNNNNNNNNNNNNNNNNNNNNNNNNNNNGAAAUUUGCUCGAGGUCCGAUCCUAAUUUUGAGGGAUUGCAUGCAUCUCAAAGAAGUAAGGUUAUAGACUUAGGCUUAUAAUACAUUUAUGGUUCCCAAUUUAUUGAGUUAACCUCUGCCUCUGAAAUGCUUCAAAUUCAUGAGGCAGAUGGGAGUUCUAAUAUAAAGAUGUUCGUUUCCUUGCUAUAUUUUGAGGAAAAUGAAAAUGAUUGAAUUUAAUAGAUUUUAUUUUACCCUUUGUAGAGAUUAGUGAACACGGAUGCUGUGAUGGAGCUCCUGCCUUGGAAAGAUAGACUUAAGAGUCUAUGGACGGUUCACAUACUAAUCAAAGCUUUAGGAAACAUGUCCAGUUAAACAUAGGUGAGAAUCAAGAAGAAUUUUAUCUUUUGAUUACUAUUGCUUUUAAUGUGUAGCCAAAAAUCAAUAAGAAACCUAGCAGCAUCAGUAAUGGGUAGUUUGAACAUUGACAUUAGUAGCAUACGAAUACAUGGGAUGGGAUAGCGAAGAAGCAUGAUGACUGACCUAUAUAUUCAUGUGUUUAUUAUAUAUUCAUGACCUAUAUAUUCAGAACACAGUGUCACGUCACUUUCAUCUCUGUAUUCCUUUUUUUCUUUUCCUUCACACAUUGCUUUCCUUCUUUUCUUUCUCCACCCCAUUUUGGUGAAAAACCAAAAGCUACUUUGCAAUCCUAUUCUACAAUGCUUUGACCAAUGCUUUCAAAAUUUAAAUUUCAAAAACCCCUCCAAAAUCAUUCUCUAAAAUUUGCUACAUUUCAUUUUUCUCUUAAAUUUUUUGUUUGUGGUCCUUUUGUCACACUCUAAGUGGAUCACUUUUAGUUUCGUAUUUUUAUUUUUAUUUACAUAGAAGGAAUUAUUGUCAUUCUUUGAAUUUCUUACUAUAGCGAGUUAGUGAGGUGCAUAACUUGAUUGUAUUUGAAAACUCCUCAUUAGACGUUGAAGUUAAUAUCACAUAACUUGAUUCGUAUGCUACAGCCACUUCAAAUCUGGUUUUGUGCACACUUAACUGAUUUUGUUUUAUACCUGGCAGAGAAUUCCAUGGAGAUCGAACCUUAAAUGAGAAACAAGUUGAGAUUCUUAAUGACAUCACUAUCAUUUUCAGAGGUAACCCUUAUUUCUUUCUAUUUUCCGUUACGUCAUUAUUUAUAAAAAAUAAUGUAACUACUUUGUUGUCAAUGAUUUGCAUUCUCCAAACUUCAUGUAUAGUAUUAUAAAAGAAUAAGCCACCAGACUCUCAAUGCAAAACAUGCCUAAUAAUCGGUAUAGUGCGGUAGGGCAUUCAACUCAAUAUCAUUUUGUUUUGGUUGUUUAACCAUGUUUUAAUUUCGAGUUUGUGCCUGAACUAACAUAAGUGGUACGAUGUUUUGGCAUCUAGAAUUAUUUUGAUGAUUGUCUUUUUCUACAGUUUUUGACCAAAUAUUACAGAGCAUGUCAUACGGAAAAAAUUAGAAAGGAAGGAGCAAGAAGAUUAGCUAAAGCUUGAGUGCAACUAAGAUAGAUACAGUUUGUAAUAAAUAUAAUACCCUUAAAUGUUGAAUAGAAUCACUGUCUAACAUUGUUUUUCCAAUAUAAUUAUGCUUAUUCAAUAGCUUUAAAGCAUUGCUUUAUUUUUUUCAAAUGCAUUGAUUUGGUGAAUUAGUCUUCAAUUAGAUUUAUUUUGGUUUUUUGUUUUUUAUUUUUCCUUUUUGUUGAUAGUUUCAUUGCAUUUUCUACGUUGCUCUAUAGUUUUUCAAUCACAUUAAUUAUUAACAUUCAUAUUCACGAUGAAGCUAAUUGUAUUAGUAUAAAACAAAAUACGUUUAAAACGUUCUCUUUAUUAAUCAAUUCUUAUAAGACGAGAGGUUAUAGUAUAUACUAUUGAUAUUAUUUUUUUUGUUCGAUCUGAUGUUAGCGAGGAAGAAUAUAUAUU